rnacentral:rRNA from 1 species
AACGAACGCUGGCGGCAUGCCUAAUACAUGCAAGUCGAACGAGACCUUCGGGUCCAGGGGCGCACGGGGGCGUAACGCGUGGGAACCUGAACUUAGGGUCGGAAUAACUCUCCGAAAGGGGUGCCAAUACGGGACAAUGUCUUCGGACCAAAGAUUUAUCGCCUUUGGGUGGGCCCGCGUUGUAUUAGCUAGUUGGUAGGGUAAAAGCCUACCAAGGCGGCGAUCCAAAGCUGGUCUGGGAGGAUGAUCAACCACCCUGGGACGGGGACCCGGCCCGAACGCCUCCGGGUGGCCGCAGUGGUGACGAUUGGACACUGGGCGAAAGCCUGAUCCCGCCGUGCCGCGUGAGUGAUGAAGGCCUUAGGGUUGUAAAGCUCUUUUACCCGGCAUGAUAUUGCCGGUACCAGGAGAAUAGGCUCCGGCAACCUCCGU